rnacentral:tRNA from 1 species
ACCUGGGUGGCUCAGUUGAUUGAGCAUCUGACUUCAGCUCAGGUCAUGAUCUCACAGUUCGUGGGUUCAAGCCCCGCAUCAGGCU